UCGAACGAGACCUUCGGGUCUAGUGGCGCACGGGUGCGUAACGCGUGGGAAUCUGCCCUUGGGUUCGGAACAACAGUUGGAAACGACUGCUAAUACCGGAUGAUGACUUCGGUCCAAAGAUUUAUCGCCCAGGGAUGAGCCCGCGUAGGAUUAGCUUGUUGGUGAGGUAAAAGCUCACCAAGGCGACGAUCCUUAGCUGGUCUGAGAGGAUGAUCAGCCACACUGGGACUGAGACACGGCCCAGACUCCUACGGGAGGCAGCAGUGGGGAAUAUUGGACAAUGGGCGAAAGCCUGAUCCAGCAAUGCCGCGUGAGUGAUGAAGGCCUUAGGGUUGUAAAGCUCUUUUACCCGGGAUGAUAAUGACAGUACCGGGAGAAUAAGCCCCGGCUAACUCCGUGCCAGCAGCCGCGGUAAUACGGAGGGGGCUAGCGUUGUUCGGAAUUACUGGGCGUAAAGCGCACGUAGGCGGCUUUGUAAGUUAGAGGUGAAAGCCCGGAGCUCAACUCCGGAAUUGCCUUUAAGACUGCAUCGCUUGAAUCAUGGAGAGGUGAGUGGAAUU
rnacentral:rRNA from 1 species